rnacentral:rRNA from 1 species
CCUACGGGAGGCAGCAGUGGGGAAUAUUGCACAAUGGGGGGAACCCUGAUGCAGCGAAGCCGCGUGAGGGAAGAAGUAUUUCGGUACGGAAAGCUCCAUUUGCAGGGAAGUAAAAAGGACGGUACCUGAGUAAGAAGCCCCGGCUAACUACGUGCAAGCAGCUGCGGUAAUACGUAGGGGGCAAGCGUUAUCCGGAAUUACAGGGUGUAAAGGGAGCGUAGACGGCAAUGCAAGUCCGGAGUGGAAGUUGGCAGCUCAACUGCCGAACUGCUCUGGAAACUGUAUGGCCUGAGUGCAGGAGGGGUAAGCGGAAUGCCUGGUGUAGCGGUGAAAUGCGUAGAUAUCAGGAAGAACACCGGUUGCGAAGGCAGCUUACUGGACUGUAACUGACGUUGAGGCUCGAAAGCGUGGGGAGCAAACAGGAUUAGAUACCCGUGUAGUC